UACGGAGGGGGCUAGCGUUGUUCGGAAUUACUGGGCGUAAAGCGCACGUAGGCGGCUUUGUAAGUUAGAGGUGAAAGCCCGGGGCUCAACUCCGGAAUUGCCUUUAAAACUGCAUCGCUAGAAUUGUGGAGAGGUGAGUGGAAUUCCGAGUGUAGAGGUGAAAUUCGUAGAUAUUCGGAAGAACACCAGUGGCGAAGGCGGCUCUCUGGUACGUGACUGACGCUGAGACGCGAAAGCGUGGGGAGCGAACAGG
rnacentral:rRNA from 1 species